AUUGAACGCUGGCGGCAGGCCUAACACAUGCAAGUCGAGCGGAUGAGAGGAGCUUGCUCUUCGAUUCAGCGGCGGACGGGUGAGUAAUGCCUAGGAAUCUGCCUAGUAGUGGGGGACAACGUUUCGAAAGGAACGCUAAUACCGCAUACGUCCUACGGGAGAAAGUGGGGGAUCUUCGGACCUCACGCUAUUAGAUGAGCCUAGGUCGGAUUAGCUAGUUGGUAGGGUAACGGCCUACCAAGGCGACGAUCCGUAACUGGUCUGAGAGGAUGAUCGGUCACACUGGAACUGAGACACGGUCCAGACUCCUACGGGAGGCAGCAGUGGGGAAUAUUGGACAAUGGGCGAAAGCCUGAUCCAGCCAUGCCGCGUGUGUGAAGAAGGCCCUCGGGUCGUAAAGCACUUUAAGUUGGGAGGAAGGGCUUACAGCGAAUACCUGUGAGUUUUGACGUUACCGACAGAAUAAGCACCGGCUAACUUCGUGCCAGCAGCCGCGGUAA
rnacentral:rRNA from 1 species